CUCUCUUGCUCGCGGAGAGCUGGAUGGAGUGUUGAAGGACCAGAGACAAAUCAUCUUGAAUUGUCCCCAAACCCUGAACAGCCGUGGGCUGCCCACCGCUUGGCCUAACAGCCUUGUGACUGGUUUUGAAACACCGUGAAGCUGACACUACGUGGGGACAUGGUAUUUGGGGUGACCCAAGUCCGUGUUCCUGAUCCAGGGGAUCCACUGUGCCCUCUCUGGACCUCCUCAGGCUCCUGCAUACACUCUGGCAGAAAUACAUAUAUACAAAAUAAAUGAGUACUCUGUU